rnacentral:rRNA from 1 species
GACGAACGCUGGCGGCGUGCCUAAUACAUGCAAGUCGAACGCAGUGGGGACGGGUGAGUAACACGUGGGUAACCUCCCAUCAGAGGGGAGAACACUUGGCAAAAGGUGCUAAACCGACACUGAUGGAUGGACCCGCGGUGGAUUAGCUAGUUGGUGAGGUAAAGGCUCACCAAGGCCACGAUGCAUAGCUGGCCUGAUAGGGUGAUCGGCCAAACUGGAACUGCGACACGGCCCAUACUCCUACGGGAGGCAGCAGUAGGGAAUCUUCGGCAAUGGACGAAAGUCUGACCGAGCAACGCCGCGUGAGUGAAGAAGGUUUUCGGAUCGUAAACCUCUGUUGUUCGAGAAGCGGUAUCUAACCAGAAAGCCACGGCUAACUACGUGCCAGCAGCCGCGGUAAUUC